rnacentral:rRNA from 1 species
GACGUAGGAGGCGAGCGUUAUCCGGAUUCACUGGGCGUAAAGCGCAAGUAGGCGGUUGUGAAAGUCCGUUGUUAAAGCCCCCGGCUCAACUGGGGAGGGUCACGCGAUACUGAUCGACUCGAAGGCAGGAGAGGGAAGUGGAAUUCCCGGUGUAGUGGUGAAAUGCGUAGAUAUCGGGAGGAACACCAGUGGCGAAGGCGACUUCCUGGCCUGUUCUUGACGCUGAGGCGCGAAAGCUAGGGGAGCAAACGGG